AGAGGUUGAUCCUGGCUCAGGAUGAACGCUGGCGGCGUGCCUAAUACAUGCAAGUCGAGCGAACAGACGAGGAGCUUGCUCCUCUGACGUUAGCGGCGGACGGGUGAGUAACACGUGGAUAACCUACCUAUAAGACUGGGAUAACUUCGGGGAAACCGGAGCUAAUACCGGAUAAUAUAUUGAACCGCAUGGUUCAAUAGUGAAAGACGGUUUUGCUGUCACUUAUAGAUGGAUCCGCGCCGCAUUAGCUAGUUGGUAAGGUAACGGCUUACCAAGGCAACGAUGCGUAGCCGACCUGAGAGGGUGAUCGGCCACACUGGAACUGAGACACGGUCCAGACUCCUACGGGAGGCAGCAGUAGGGAAUCUUCCGCAAUGGGCGAAAGCCUGACGGAGCAACGCCGCGUGAGUGAUGAAGGUCUUCGGAUCGUAAAACUCUGUUAUUAGGGAAGAACAAAUGUGUAAGUAACUAUGCACGUCUUGACGGUACCUAAUCAGAAAGCCACGGCUAACUACGUGCCAGCAGCCGCGGUAAUACGUAGGUGGCAAGCGUUAUCCGGAAUUAUUGGGCGUAAAGCGCGCGUAGGCGGUUUUUUAAGUCUGAUGUGAAAGCCCACGGCUCAACCGUGGAGGGUCAUUGGAAACUGGAAAACUUGAGUGCAGAAGAGGAAAGUGGAAUUCCAUGUGUAGCGGUGAAAUGCGCAGAGAUAUGGAGGAACACCAGUGGCGAAGGCGACUUUCUGGUCUGUAACUGACGCUGAUGUGCGAAAGCGUGGGGAUCAAACCAGGAUUAGAUACCCUGGUAGUCCACGCCGUAAACG
rnacentral:rRNA from 1 species